rnacentral:lncRNA from 1 species
UCAAUUAGUGUAAAAGGUUUGUGUAAAAUGUGUGUAAAAUGUCUUUAAAAAAGGGUAACUCCAUUUCAGGAAAUGACAUCAGCACCCCUUUUUUGGAGUUCAUACAAAAGCAGCAUGAAAACCUCAAAGACAGCAUUACACCAGAUGAAUGAUGUUUUUAUACAUUUACAUUGUCCUCCUCUUAGAAAUGCCAGCAGCUGUGCUGGGAGUGAGUUUGGAUCAAGGUACAAAGGCUUUGGCUAAAGCAGCUGGCAAAACUGUGUAUCUGCCCUGCAAAGUGACCGAUUUGCAAUCUUGGAAUUAUAUCCAUUGGUACCAAAUAAAAGAGGGUGAAGCCCCAUCGAGACAAAACAGUGGACAAAACAAAGCUUUAUGAUCUAAAACUGAGUGAUACUCAGACGAAACAUUCUGCCAUUUACUUUUGCGCCUACUGGGACACAAGCUACCACAGUGAGAAGAUUUACGCACAUCCUGUACAUGAACUAAUGAAUAAAACAUUUAAAUCCUUAAAUUGUUAUUUUCUGUUUAAGUUCUUAAUUUGACUUGAGCUGAGUGACAGGAUGGCUGGGUGAUGGUAUUUGGAUCUGUUUGGAUUGGAACUGCAGUAUACAGUAUGUAAUUGCCUUGGUGUUCAUGGAAGCCAGAUGACCUGGCCUCCACAGUCACCGGACCUGAACCCAAUCAAGAUGGUUUAGGGGUGAGCUGGACCGCAGACUGAAGGUAAAAGGGCCAACAAGUGCUAAGCCUCUCUGGGGGAACUCCUUCAAGACUGCUGGAAGACCAUUUCAGGUGACUACCUCUUGAAGCUCAUCAAGACAAUGCCAAGAGUGUGCAAAGCAGUAAUCAAAGCAAAAGGUGGCUACUUUGAAGAACCUAAAAUAUGACAUAUUUUCAAUUGUUUCACACUUUUUUGUUAUGUAUAUAAUUCCAUAUAUAAUUCCACAUGUGUUAAUUCAUAGUUUUGAUGCCUUCAGUGUGAAUCUACAAUUUCAUAGUCAUGAAAAUAAAGAAAACUAUUUGAAUGAGAAGGUGUUUCCAAACUUUUGGUCUGUACUGUAUAUGACAUAUUUUACAUUUAUGUAGGGAUCAUGGGUUUGUAAUUUUGUAAAGUUUGAUGAAGAGUUUGCUUGAAAUAUCAAUUGUCCUUUUGCAGUAAAAAUACAGUAGCAUUGUGCCGACUUUCACUAAAGUUAUCAAAUAAUAUGAAAGGCACUGCAUUACAAAGACAUAG